CGGUUGAUCCUGCCGGAGGCCAUUGCUAUCGGAGUCCGAUUUAGCCAUGCUAGUCGCACGGGUUUAGACCCGUGGCGGAAAGCUCAGUAACACGUGGUCGAACUGCCCUGUGGAUCGGAAUAACCUCGGGAAACUGAGGCUAAUUCCGAAUACAGCUCCCAUGCUUGAAUGCAGGGAGCUGGAAACGCUCCGGCGCCACAGGAUGUGACUGCGGCCGAUUAGGUAGACGGUGGGGUAACGGCCCACCGUGCCGAUAAUCGGUACGGGUUGUGAGAGCAAGAGCCCGGAGACGGUAUCUGAGACAAGAUACCGGGCCCUACGGGGCGCAGCAGGCGCGAAACCUUUACACUGCACGACAGUGCGAUAGGGGGACUCCGAGUGCGAGGGCAUACAGUCCUCGCUUUUCUGUACCGUAAGGUGGUACAGGAACAAGUGCUGGGCAAGACCGGUGCCAGCCGCCGCGGUUAUACCGGCAGCACGAGUGAUGGCCGAUUUUAUUGGGCCUAAAGCGUCCGUAGCUGGCCAGACAAGUCCGUUGGGAAAUCCACGCGCUCAACGCGUGGGCGUCCAGCGGAAACUAUCUGGCUUGGGGCCGGAAGACCCGAGGGGUACGUCCGGGGUAGGAGUGAAAUCCCGUAAUCCUGGACGGACCACCGGUGGCGAAAGCGCCUCGGGAAGACGGACCCGACAGUGAGGGACGAAAGCCAGGGUCUCGAACCGGAUUAGAUACCCGGGUAGUCCUGGCCGUAAA
rnacentral:rRNA from 1 species